rnacentral:lncRNA from 10 species
GUGCAGAACAUGCAGGUUUGUUACAUAGGUAUACAUGUGCCGUGGUGGAUUGCUGCACCCAUCAACCCGUCAUCUACAUCAGGUAUUUCUCCUAAUGCUCACCCUCCUCUUAUCCCCAACUACCCAAAAGGACCUGGUGUGUGAUGUUCCCCUCCCUGUGUUCAUAUGUUCUCAUUGUUCAACUCUCACUUAUGGGUAAGAACAUGCAGUGUUUGAUUUUCUGUUCCUCUGUUAGUUUGCUGAGAAUGAUGGUUUCCAGCUUCAUCCAUGUCCCUGCAAAGGACAUGAACUCAUUCUUUUUUAUGGCUGCAUAGUAUUCCAUGGUAUAUAUGUGCCACAUUUUCUUUAUCCAGUCUAUCAUUGAUGGCCAUUUGAGUUGGUUCCAAGUCUUCGCUAUUGUGAAUAGUGCUGCAAUGAACAUAUGUGUGCAUGUGUCUUUAUAGUAGAAUGAUUUAUAAUCCUUAGGGUAUACCCAGUAAUGGGAUUGCUGGGUUAAAUGGUAUUUCUGGUUCUAGAUCCUCGAGGAAUUGCCACACUGUCUUCCACAAUGGUUGAACUAAUUUAUACUCCC